AGAGUUUGAUUCUGGCUCAGGACGAACGCUGGCGGCGUGCUUAACACAUGCAAGUCGAACGGACGUAGAAAUACGUUAGUGGCGGACGGGUGAGUAACGCGUGAGCAAUCUGCCUCUAUCAUCGGGAUAACACACGGAAACGAGUGCUAAUACCGAAUAAGACCACAUACCGGCAUCGGAGAGGGGUCAAAGAUUUUAUCGGAUAGAGAUGAGCUCGCGUCCCAUUAGCUAGUUGGUAGGGUAACGGCUUACCAAGGCGACGAUGGGUAGCCGACCUGAGAGGGUGAUCGGCCACACUGGAACUGAGAUACGGUCCAGACUCCUACGGGAGGCAGCAGUGGGGAAUAUUGGGCAAUGGAGGCAACUCUGACCCAGCAACGCCGCGUGAAGGAUGAAGGUUUUCGGAUUGUAAACUUCUGUCGCGAGGGACGAAGAAUGACGGUACCUCGUAAGAAAGCCCCGGCUAACUACGUGCCAGCAGCCGCGGUAAUACGUAGGGGGCAAGCGUUGUCCGGAAUGACUGGGCGUAAAGGGAGUGUAGGCGGCAUAGCAAGUUAGAUGUGAAAGCCCGCAGCUUAACUGCGGAACUGCAUCUAAAACUGCUGAGCUUGAGUGCAGGAGAGGUAAGUGGAAUUCCUAGUGUAGCGGUGGAAUGCGUAGAUAUUAGGAGGAACAUCAGUGGCGAAGGCGGCUUACUGGACUGUAACUGACGCUGAGGCUCGAAAGCGUGGGGAGCAAACAGGAUUAGAUACCCUGGUAGUCCACGCCCUAAACGAUGGAUACUAGACGAGGCGGAAUAUAAAGUCUGCCGUGUCGAAGCAAACGCGAUAAGUAUCCCGCCUGGGGAGUACGGCCGCAAGGUUGAAACUCAAAGAAAUUGACGGGGACCCGCACAAGCAGCGGAGCAUGUGGUUUAAUUCGAAGCAACGCGAAGAACCUUACCAAGACUUGACAUCGUAUGACAGACUAUGAAAGUAGUUUUCCCUUCGGGGCAUAUAGACAGGUGGUGCAUGGUUGUCGUCAGCUCGUGUCGUGAGAUGUUCGGUUAAGUCCGGCAACGAGCGCAACCCUCGCCCUAUGUUACCAGCGGGUAAAGCCGGGGACUCUUAGGGGACAAGCCUGUAUACAGGCGGGAAGGUGGGGAUGACGUCAAGUCAGUAUGGCUCUUACAUCCAGGGCUGCACACGUGCUACAAUGGCCGACACAGAGGGAUGCUACGUCGCGAGGCGAUGCGAAUCUCGAAAAUCGGUCUCAGUUCGGAUUGGAUGUCUGCAACUCGACUCCAUGAAGCCGGAAUCGCUAGUAAAGGCGUAUCAGCUACGACGCCUUGAAUACGUUCCCGGGCCUUGUACACACCGCCCGUCAAGUCAUGAAAGCCGGUUUUGCCCGAAGUUCGUGAGCUAACCCGCGAGGGGGGCAGCGGCCUAAGGCAAUGCUGGUGAUUGGGACUAAGUCGUAACAAGGUAGCCGUAGGGGAACCUGCGGCUG
rnacentral:rRNA from 1 species